GAUGAAGAACGUAGCGAAAUGCGAUAAGUAAUGCGAAUUGCAGAAUUCAGUGAGUCAUCGAAUCUUUGAACGCACAUUGCGCCCUGUGGUAUUCCGCAGGGCAUGCCUGUUCGAGCGUCAUUUCAACCCUCAAGCUCUGCUUGGUGUUGGACCACGCCCUCGCGGCCGGCCCCAAAGCCAGUGGCGGCGCCGUCCGGCUCUAAGCGUAGUACAUCUCUCGCUCUAGGGCCCGGCGGCUGCCUGCCAGAACCCCAAACUCUUAUGGUUGACCUCGGAUCAGGUAGGGAUACCCGCUGAACUUAAGCAUAUCAAUAAGCGGAGGA
rnacentral:misc_RNA from 1 species